UACAGAGGUCUCAAGCGUUGUUCGGAUUCAUUGGGCGUAAAGGGUGUGUAGGUGGCGCCGUAAGUCGGGUGUGAAAUUUCGGAGCUUAACUCCGAAACUGCAUUCGAUACUGCCGUGCUUGAGGACUGGAGAGGAGACUGGAAUUUACGGUGUAGCGGUGAAAUGCGUAGAUAUCGUAAGGAAGACCAGUGGCGAAGGCGGGUCUCUGGGACGGUACUGACGCUGAGACGCGAAAGCGUGGGGAGCGAACAGG
rnacentral:rRNA from 1 species